AGUUAUUGCUGUAAUUAAAAAUCUCAAAUAAGGCGCCGUUUUUAAUAAACAAUCUGAGUGAAUCAUAUCGAUAAUGUAAAGGUUGCUAGUUAGAACACACAAAUUGAGGUAUAACUCGCACAUUAAGAUAUCAUAAUCAUUGGUCAAGCAGACAACAUCUGAAGCAUACCAACCAACUCAUUUGCCCUUUGAGUAACCGCUACUUCCUGCUCAACUUUUUCACGAAGCUUUGAAAUUGCAUUUUCCACCAUUACGCUGCCCCCAAGAGCAGCUCCGUAUAUAUCUAAAAUGGUGCUAGUAACUAUACAUAAAGUUUCGGAGAAACGAGGGUCUCUUAUAUAUUUUCUUAAGAAGUUUAUCAAAGGAGUAAGAGAUAAAUCAUCUCUGUUAGACAAUGCAAUCCGUAACCCUCCAACAUGAAGAAGCUCAAUAAGCAUAGUUAUGAUAAGAACAGGUGAUCCGUUCUCCAAUACCAUAUCCAAAGCAUCAGAGUAACAAAAUGAUUUUAAAGCUUUGUCGAAAGGACGAAGUCUUUUACGUCUAGCCUCUUCGACAUAAAAUUCAUCGUUCUCGCCCUUAUAGAUUUGUUUCUUUUUACCUACUACACCAAAAGCACUUCCGACGCCCCCUAAGAAAGGAGUUUUUGAGCUCGUUUGCUUGGUUAUACGUCGAGUCCGUUGCGAUAAUGUACCGUUCGACAUACCCACAACUAAAUUGCAGCUAUCCGGAGAAAGUCCCAUAGAUAAAAUAGGGCCAGAAUAUUUCAUGCCAUGGACAACUUUCCAAUCGGAGAUGUUAUAAAUUUUCACAUGUCCGUCUAAACCACCACUCAAAAGUCUAGUAUUCUCGGAGUUCAUGGCAAGGCAUGUGAUACUCUUUUGAUGAUUAGACAGCUUCUUCGUAGGUGUUUGUCUUCCAGCCACUAAAUCCCAAACUUUAAUGGAUGGUCCACCAGCUGAAAUAACAGUGCUACCAGAUUGCAUUGGAAGCACAACGUCAAUCGCUUCACCAUGCGAAAAAGACAUUACUUCUGGGUCCGCAAUUCGAGUAUCCCAUAAACGAAUUGUACCAUCAUAUCCACCACUCACAAGUCUAGUAGCACUCAUCCAUGAAGCAGUACGAACAUAAUCUUCAUGUCCAGAAAGAUCAUACUGAACGGCACCAGUUGACAAGUCCCAGACCUUUACAGUUUUGUCAUCGGAUCCAGAGAGAAACGUGGUAUUGGCAUAAGGACAAAAUUGUGUAACAUGAACUGGAAACUGAUGAGCGUCUAAAGCACGCAAAAUACUCCGAGUUGACAAAUCAAAUAUCUGAAAGUACAUUAGCAAUCAAUGGCAACAAGAAAACCUCUAAAGUAAGUUUAAAGCGUUGACAAACACCGGAAAAAUGGUAUUUUUUUAGCUAUAUACUAGCAAAUGACAGCUUCAAUCAGCUAAACUAAACUAACAAAAUUCCAUGUGCAGCUUAUCAACGUUUUAAUUGCAACUAUCUUUCAAAGCUUUUGGUAAUGUAGACUUACCUGUACAAGUCCUGUAGCAUCUCCUGCAAGCAAAAGUUUUCCAUCCUUUCUAAUGUUACCAGAAUAUGCGGUAUCCUUAAAUCGAGCAAUUGUUUUUUUAACAGACCUUGAACUAGCUCCAUAAAUUUGUACACGAGCCCCACUAGUUACUGCAAAGUCAUAAGGGGAUUCAGCGGAAAAAUGAAUACUAGUGAUAGCACUAUAUUCCUUGGCAACGACAGGAACCUUGAAUGACCGCCAAAAUUUAUUUUCAGCAGUAACGGGAUUAGGUAAAGCAGCAAAACGCUGAGGUUGAAGUCUACCAGCAGGCGCGGACAUGAUAUCCGUAUAUGUGGUUGCUGAAAAAAGUUAACCAAAUGGGUGGGUGGUGUUGGUGGUUGGCAAAGGCAAAUUAAACAGCACCGCUGAACGAUAGUUAAAUCACAUUAAAUAUUAAUAACUAAAUUUAUAGUUUACUACGAGUAAUAAAAGUUUAAAUAAUCAUGCAUGAACCUCAUUUAUUGACUGGUAACAUCCUUAUCAUGACGCCGUCUAUGAGAAACGUAGAAUUCGUUAUAAUUGAGACGAACGGAAAGAAAGCGCAUUUCUGGGUCCUUAUGGGAAGCUAAUCCAUGUAAUAAUUUUUGAAGUCGAACCUGGAAUUCCUCAGUAAAAUUUGAGAGUUCAUUUUUUAUAGGGGUGUAUUGAGCUGCCAAAGCAUCAGUCGAAAUUGGUACAUUAAUGCGAAUUCUAUUCGACAGGGAGCAAGAAAAGUUAUACAACAACUCAAUUGCAUCAUGAAAGUUUAAGAUAACUUUAAGUAUAUCAUGAAGCUGAUGAAGGAAGGAAUCUUCAUUCCUUGACUUACCACCACCCAACAAGCCCUUAUGAGUUAUACUAGUAACAUAUUUUUCAUGUGCCUCUAUAUACGUAUCCAAUGUAGCGUUUGGUUUCUCCAUAGCAAGCUGUAAUUCUUGCCAACUAAUUUCGAUAACCUGUUUCCAAUGGUUAGUAUACAAUGCAAAAUUGGGUUUUGGUUUUUCGUUACCUCAAAGAGUAUAUAAUAUUGAAGUUGACAAACAAAAUGAAUCAUUUCCGCAAGAUGACAACUGACAAAAUGCCAUUCGAAUUUUGUGUAAUCCAGAUUUCUGAAGACAUUUCGCUCGCCCAAAUUUACUCGCCUCCAGGAAUGGGCAAGGGCAAACUCAAUUCGUUUCAACCUCCAUAAAAAGUUAAAUAUUUUUAAGUAUUGUCUAGAGCAAUAUGGUGUUAUUAUUACGUUGAUAGGUGAAUCAACUUUAUACUCCAACGUAAAAACAUCCCAACCAGUUUCACCAUGUGAAAGCUCCAGAAGCCUAGCAUCCAAUCUUUUUAAUACGUAUUCAGGUUCAUAAGAUGCAUUACUUGAACGAAUGGCGCUUUCUAAAGAAGCAGUCAAAUUGUGUCUGAACAAAGUAUUAGCCGGCUGAUCCAAAGAAUUACCAAGGCUCUCCAUUAAUAAGUCCACAAAAUCACCUUGUCCUAGUAAAAGGUAUUUUUUGAUAGCCUUUAAAUGAUCAGUCAAAUGAAACACCUCUUCCAUCAAGUAUACUAAGUGAUUAAUGGACUCAGUAUACGCCUUAUCAACCACUGUUUCUAAUGAAUGAGGGUCUCUAUAACUAAGUUUUUUCACUAGCUUCUGGUAAUGCUCUUGUGCCCAGUCAAAAUCACCACAUCCAUAACGUGCGAAGUUUAAACUCUUUCCAAUCAAAAAGAUUUUGUCGACAAGUUCUUCAGAAAGGAAACUUGGUAUUAACUCUUUGUCUAAAAAAUAUUUACCUUUCCAGACGACAUCACCUUGCCCUUGAUGAUCAUGGCUUUCACUACCAUUUUUUUCUUUAACAAAAAAUUCUUGAUAAGGGUCGACCAAUUCUCCUUUAUAAAUCCAGUUUUCAAUCAUUUCGUAUAAAGGUCCAGUAAUUUCUGUUAGUAUUUUAUCACUCAAUUCUUGUAUUAGCGGAUCUCCAUGCACAUUGUAUUUCGAAACCACUUGAAUCAAUCUUUUUUUAUUCUCCUGGUUCAUAUUAUCAUUAACAACUGAAGACAAAAUUCUAAGUUUUAGCUUGGCAACUUGCGUCCAGGCAAUGCAACGCCGGAUAGUUACCAUAGGCUUCUCAAGUGAAGCGUCUGCUCGAAUUUGUGAAUCCAGAGAUGCAAUUAACGCAAGGAAAUUAGUCAGCUCUUUAGAAAUGACCGAUUUUAAACUUUGUAAAGCUAAAGACUGAUCGUUUAUAAAUGCUUUACUAACGUUAUCACCAUCAAUGGAUUGACUGACCGAAGGAUCAUAAUUGCUGAAAACCUUUAGUUCCUGAUAUAAUAAGCCUGUCUCUGAAAGAGCUCGCAUCUGUAAAAGGUAUUGGACAGGUAUUCUCUUAGACAACAGCGCUAAUUCAUUUUUAAACUGAACAUAUUCGGUAGAAAUUCCUUGAAGUACGUAAGAUAUUGAAGACAACAAAUCGGCUUCUGUAAUCAAAGUAUGUUGAACAGAAGAAGUUUCAGUACUACGGUUUAGCCUAGAUGAAUCAUGAGCAAUUGAGAUAGAACUUUCAUUUUCCAAUCCUUCAUCCCAAUCAGUAAUUUGGGGGUUUUCAGGAACUUGAUCGUAACGUGUCUGACCAAAGUUUGAGGAUUCCACUUCUGUUGAUGGAAUAUUGAUAGGAUUGGAAAUAGACUCAUCUAAUAAAUGAGAGGAGACAUCUCUUGAUGACUGAGAAAUAGGAGAGAGCAAGUAUAAGAAAUAGAGUAUUUGAGAUUUGUUGUGAAUGACCGUUUGACUUUUCAAACGCGAAACUAAGUUAGAUAAUUUAGAAAAUAAAGCAUCAUUGUUUUCUUCGGGGGGAACUAAAAAACUGUUAAUUUUGGUAUUUAGACCUUCACAUACUUUUUGAAUAUAUUUUGUACAGAAUGUCAUCAAUGUCCAGUUGAAAAGUAUCAGGAGAAAUGCUAACAGUUAGCAUGAUCAUUUACACGAAAUUAGCUUACGAGUGAAUUAUUUCCUGAAAGAAAGACACGAUCGUUUCAAUUGUGUAAGGGACAGAAGGGUUUUUGGAGUUCUGUAAAUACUUGUCCGCCAGACGUGAUAAUGCAGUUUUCACAUGAAUCUCCGACAUUUGAGAACUUCAAAUGACGAAAGUAUUUUUUUUAUUUUUGAAUUAAAAUAGAGAAAUACAAGUAUUGAUCGUUAACUCAAAAUCUUAAAGCCAUUGACAAAGUACACGCCGAAGUCGCGGUCAGGAAAUAAUGGUUAGAUGAAUUUACGCAUACACCUAUUUUUACUAGUGAUUUUUUUUUAAAUUAAAUGAUUGAUUUUAUUUCAAAAAGAUUGAAAUUAAAAAUAUUAAUGCACAUUAGAUUAGAAAUUCAGAAUCUCGUUCAACGAUAUUGGUUUUCUCACAGCAUUGGAAAACCCAUCGUGAAAUUUGAUAUUGAUUGCAUGCUUGAUGGAAACUGGAUGAUCUCCUGUAUUCAAAGCUGCAUUAUUCGAUGUAACUGCUUCAGAUUUUGGUUCAGAAAUGAUACGGCCAAAAAAAUCUCUCUUAAUUGCUUUUCCGGAAUUAAAAUCUUUGCGCUUUCUUGAAGAAUUCGAAGAAGUGGGGUUGUCCGUUAGGGUUUGUUUUUUAAUGUCUGCGAGCCUUUUCUUGAGCAGUUCCUGAGAUAGCAUUUGACGAACAGAAUAUGAACUUGUAGGUGCGUCCCAAACCAAUUCAUCCAAAGGUCUGUCAACGUUAGCUAUUACUAGAAAGAAAUAAAAAUAUUGGAACUUACGGCUCAAGCCUAUACACAUAGUUGCCAUCUCCAACGGGAAGCUGUUGGAAACGCAAAUUAUAAUGAUUUAAAAUGUUAAUCGCAUGCUCAAUUUUAGAAGGUAAAGCGCUCCUUGGCAUAGAAUCUUCUUUCUAUAAAAAGUUAGUAAAUUAAAAAAAUAUUGUUUCACGCAAUUUUUUUUUUUUUUUUUUUUAAAAUAUAUAGACCUUACCUGUUUUAGUGUAGGAUUUAUGGUAAUUAAAAUUGUACGGAUAAGUUCCAAAAGAAUUGAUCUUUCUCCAUGCAUUUGAUUUUCAUAAGCAUUUAGCGUCGAUAUGAAUGAAUCCAAUAUUUCUUUGCGAGUACGAUAAAGUUUUAAAGCUUCCAAAUCACUUCUGGGAGGAUGCGGAAGGCGGCACUUUUCAGGAGUUGCAUACAAAUAAUGAAAAUG